rnacentral:rRNA from 1 species
AACGCGAAGAACCUUACCAGGGCUUGACAUGCACGGUGUACUUCGAGAGAUCGAGGGUCCUUUGGGGCCGUGUGCAGGUGGUGCAUGGUUGUCGUCAGCUCGUGUCGUGAGAUGUUGGGUUAAGUCCCGCAACGAGCGCAACCCUUGUCCUAUGUUGCCAGCACGCACUUUUAGUGUGGUGGGGACUCGUGGGAGACUGCCGGGGUCAACUCGGAGGAAGGUGGGGAUGACGUCAAAUCAUCAUGCCCCUUAUGUCCUGGGCUGCACGCAUGCUACAAUGGCCGGUACAAAGGGCUGCGAUACCGUGAGGUGGAGCGAAUCCCAUAAAGCCGGUCUCAGUUCGGAUCGGGGUCUGCAACUCGACCCCGUGAAGUCGGAGUCGCUAGUAAUCGCAGAUCAGCAACGCUGCGGUGAAUACGUUCCCGGGCCUUGUACACACCGACAUA